GGCGUAGGCGGCCUUUCAAGUCAGAUGUUAAAUCUCCCGGCUCAACUGGGAGGGUGCAUGUGAUACUGCUGGGCUGGAGUGCAGCAGAGGAAAGUGGAAUUCCCGGUGUAGUGGUGAAAUGCGUAGAUAUCGGGAGGAACACCAGUGGCGAAGGCGGCUUUCUGGGCUGUAACUGACGCUGAGGUCCGAAGGCGUGGGGAGCAAACA
rnacentral:rRNA from 1 species